CCUACGGGAGGCAGCAGUGGGGAAUAUUGCACAAUGGGGGAAACCCUGAUGCAGCGACGCCGCGUGAGUGAAGAAGUAUUUCGGUAUGUAAAGCUCUAUCAGCAGGGAAGAAACCCACCAUCCGGGGUGGCUGACGGUACCUGACUAAGAAGCCCCGGCUAACUACGUGCCAGCAGCCGCGGUAAUACGUAGGGGGCAAGCGUUAUCCGGAUUUACGGGGUGUACAGGGAGCGUAGGUGGCAAGGCAUGUCAGAUGUGAACACCCGGGGCCCAGCCCCGGGAGUGCAUUUGAAACUGUCUGGCUAGAGUGCAGGAGAGGGAAGUGGAAUUCCUAGUGUAGCGGUGAAAUGCAUAGAUAGUAGGAGGAACACCAGUGGCGAAGGCGGCUUACUGGACUGUAACUGACACUGAGGCUCGAAAGCGUGGGGAGCAAACAGGAUUAGAUACCCGAGUAGUC
rnacentral:rRNA from 1 species